rnacentral:piRNA from 1 species
GAAACUUCAGGAGUUCACAAGUCUCCCACCU